rnacentral:rRNA from 1 species
GAUGAACGCUGGCGGCGUGCCUAAUACAUGCCAGUCGAGCUAACGGACGGGAAGCUUGCUCUUCUGCUGUUAGCGGCGGACGGGUGAGUAACACGUGGAUCACCUACUUCUUAGUCUGGGAUAACUACGGGAAAAAGGAUAUACUACUGGCUCAUAUUUUGUACGGCAUGGAUCAAAAGUGCUUGACGGCUUUGCCGUUACAAUUAGCUGGAUCCGCGUUGCAUUAGCUAGUUGGUAAGGUAACGGCAUACCAAGGCAACGAUGCAUAGCUGACCUGAGAGGGUGAUCGGCCACACUGGAACUGAGACACGGUCCAGACUCCUACGGGAGGCAGCAGUGGGGAAUCUUCCACAAUGGGCGAAAGCCUGACGGAGCAACGCCGCGUGAGUGAAGAAGGUCUUCGGAUCGUAAAACUCUGUUAUUGGGAAAGAACAUAUGUAUGAGUAACUGUGCACGUCUUGACGGUACCUAAUCAAAAAGCCACGGCUAACUACGUG